rnacentral:rRNA from 1 species
GACGAACGCUGGCGGCGUGCUUAACACAUGCAAGUCGAGCGGUAAGGCCCUUUCGGGGGUACACGAGCGGCGAACGGGUGAGUAACACGUGGGUGACCUGCCCUCAGCUCUGGGAUAAGCCUGGGAAACCGGGUCUAAUACUGGAUAUGACUCCAUGACGCAUGUUGUGGGGUGGAAAGCCUUGUGCGGCUGAGGAUGGGCCCGCGGCCUAUCAGCUUGUUGGGGGGUGAUGGCCUACCAAGGCGGCGACGGGUAGCCGGCCUGAGAGGGCGACCGGCCACACUGGGACUGAGACACGGCCCAGACUCCUACGGGAGGCAGCAGUGGGGAAUCUUGCGCAAUGGGCGAAAGCCUGACGCAGCGACGCCGCGUGAGGGAUGACGGCCU